rnacentral:rRNA from 1 species
ACUCCUACGGGAGGCAGCAGUGGGGAAUAUUGCACAAUGGGCGCAAGCCUGAUGCAGCCAUGCCGCGUGUGUGAAGAAGGCCUUCGGGUUGUAAAGCACUUUCAGUUGUGAGGAAGGUGGUGUCGUUAAUAGCGGCAUCAUUUGACGUUAGCAACAGAAGAAGCACCGGCUAACUCCGUGCCAGCAGCCGCGGUAAUACGGAGGGUGCGAGCGUUAAUCGGAAUUACUGGGCGUAAAGCGCAUGCAGGUGGUUUGUUAAGUCAGAUGUGAAAGCCCGGGGCUCAACCUCGGAACUGCAUUUGAAACUGGCAGACUAGAGUACUGUAGAGGGGGGUAGAAUUUCAGGUGUAGCGGUGAAAUGCGUAGAGAUCUGAAGGAAUACCGGUGGCGAAGGCGGCCCCCUGGACAGAUACUGACACUCAGAUGCGAAAGCGUGGGGAGCAAACA